rfam:Methylobacterium sp. Leaf99 contig_2, whole genome shotgun sequence.
CGUCGGCCCUCCAAAGGCCGGCACCGAAGAGGCUUGUUUCUCUUUGCCCGGCGUGCGGUGGGGAUCCCCCUUCCAAUCCAAGGCAGCUUCCGGGUGCAGUCCGCGCCCACAACGCCUUCGCGUGUCUCCAAAGCACGCGGUGC